rnacentral:rRNA from 1 species
CCUACGGGAGGCAGCAGUGAGGAAUAUUGGUCAAUGGGCGAGAGCCUGAACCAGCCAAGUCGCGUGAGGGAGUACUGCCCUAUGGGUUGUAAACCUCUUUUGUCGGGGAGCAAAAGCCGGACGUGUCCGGCUGUGAGAGUACCCGAAGAAACAGCAUCGGCUAACUCCGUGCCAGCAGCCGCGGUAAUACGGAGGAUGCGAGCGUUAUCCGGAUUUAUUGGGUUUAAAGGGUGCGCAGGCGGAUUUUUAAGUCAGCGGUAAAAUCGUGGGGCUCAACCCCAUCGAGCCGUUGAAACUGGGGAUCUAGAGUGUGCGAGAGGUAUGCGGAAUGCGUGGUGUAGCGGUGAAAUGCAUAGAUAUCACGCAGAACCCCGAUUGCGAAGGCAGCAUACCGGUGCACAACUGACGCUCAGGCACGAAAGCGUGGGUAUCGAACAGGAUUAGAUACCCCUGUAGUC